AAUGUCUGGACUAUCCAAAAGAGAAAUUGACGGUUUGAGUCACAUUUUGACUUUGGACAAUAUGAUAAAUCACAUUAGACUACUGAGGCCCUUUAUUUGUGGUUUAUUACUAUAGUAGCCUUGGAAAAGGAAACCAGAGUGGAUUUAGUUGGAUUUGGUCUUUAGAUAAGUUAGGAUUUCGAAUUUCAAAUUUUUUGGGCUUUUUUAUAUUUGUUUUUUAUUUGGAAGGGUGUGAGGACAGAGAAAGGGAACCAUUCUCUCAUUUCAUAAACCCGAGACUUUGUAACUAUUUGAGAGAAACUGUGCGACGAGAGACUUCCAGGCGAGAUUUAGACAGCAGACCGGAGGGUGAUGACGAGUAGGCGUAGACGGCAGGGGAAAGAGCAUGUUUCUGAUGGACCAAGUCCUGACGACACACCCGACGAGAGUUUGCCGCGGUGGUGACAAAGCCACAGAGUUUUCAGGCCAUGAAGUCAGAAGAGGAAAACCAUUCUGAUGGACCAGAUCCUAAACUUCCCGAGAGGUUAUUUGCUACAAAUCAUUGAGUAGCAGUGAAGUUUAUGGAGCAGUGAAGUUUAUGGAGUUGGUUGCUACAGGUGUUGAGAAGCCAGAUGUGGAGGAUUUGUCUGACUGUUCUGUUGACAUAUUCUGAUGGAGUUGGCUGAAUUCUUUAUCUGCAUAUUCUGAUGAUAAAGCCAAAUUGUAUCCUCAUGUACAGUGUAGCUUGUAUGAAUGAGUAGUGUACAUAGGUCUCGUUAUACACAUGUAUAUUAUUUCUGAUGAUCAAGCCACAAAACUAGUUGAAUAUUUUGACAAGUACGCGUUGUGUUUGUUGAUGUAAAUUUGAUGUGUA